UAGGGAAUCUUCCGCAAUGGACGAAAGUCUGACGGAGCAACGCCGCGUGAGUGAAGAAGGAUUUCGGUUCGUAAAACUCUGUUGUUAGGGAAGAAAAAAUGUAUAGUAACUAUAUACAAAAGAGACGGUACCUAACCAGAAAGCCACGGCUAACUACGUGCCAGCAGCCGCGGUAAUACGUAGGUGGCAAGCGUUGUCCGGAAUUAUUGGGCGUAAAGCGCGCGCAGGUGGUUUAGAAAGUCUGAUGUGAAAGCCCACGGCUCAACCGUGGAGGGUCAUUGGAAACUAAUAAACUUGAGUGCAGGAGAGAAAAGUGGAAUUCCUAGUGUAGCGGUGAAAUGCGUAGAGAUUAGGAGGAACACCGGUGGCGAAAGCGGCUUUUUGGCCUGCAACUGACACUGAGGCUCGAAAGCGUGGGGAGCAAACAGG
rnacentral:rRNA from 1 species